AUUUAUAUAGUAUAAUAUUUAAUACAAUUAAUUUCGAAUUAAUGAAUGAACCAAUUUCUAUAAAUU
rnacentral:tRNA from 1 species